rnacentral:rRNA from 1 species
CAGGGAUUGCCCUAGUAACGGCGAGUGAAGCGGCAACAGCUCAAAUUUGAAAUCUGGCCUCGGCCCGAGUUGUAAUUUGCAGAGGAUGCUUCUGGCGCGGUGCCUUCCGAGUUCCCUGGAACGGGACGCCACAGAGGGUGAGAGCCCCGUAUGGUCGGACACCAAGCCUGUGUGAAGCUCCUUCGACGAGUCGAGUAGUUUGGGAAUGCUGCUCAAAAUGGGAGGUAAAUCUCUUCUAAAGCUAAAUACUGGCCAGAGACCGAUAGCGCACAAGUAGAGUGAUCGAAAGAUGAAAAGCACCUUGAAAAGGGGGUUAAACAGUACGUGAAAUUGUUGAAAGGGAAGCGCUUGUGACCAGACUUGCGCCGGGCGGCUCAUCAGGGGUUCUCCCCUGUGUACUCCGCCCGGUUCAGGCCAGCAUCGGUUCUCGCCGGGGGAUAAGAACGGUGGGAACGUGGCCCUCCCUCGGGGGGGUGUUAUAGCCCGCCGUACGAUAUCCUGGCGGGGACCGAGGUUCGCGCUCCGCAAGGAUGCUGGCGUAAUGGUCAUCAGCGACCCGUCUUGAAACACGGACCAAGGAGUCGUCCAUUAGAGCGAGCGUUUGGGUGUAAAACCCGCACGCGUAAUGAAAGUGAAAUUAGGUGAGAGCUUCGGCGCAUCAUCGACCGAUCCUGAUGUUCUCGGAUGGAUUUGAGUAAGAGUUUUAACGGACGGACCCGAAAGACAGUGAACUAUGCUUGUAUAGGGUGAAGCCAGAGGAAACUCUGGUGGAGGCUCGCAGCGGUUCUGACGUGCAAAUCGAUCGUCAAAUAUGAGCAUGGGGGCGAAAGACUAAUCGAACUGUCUAGUAGCUGGUUACCGCCGAAGUUUCCCUCAGGAUAGCAGUGUUGACCUUCAGUUUUAUGAGGUAAAGCGAAUGAUUAGGGACUCGGGGGCACUAUUUAGCCUUCAUCCAUUCUCAAACUUUAAAUAUGUAAGAAGCCCUUGUUACUUAAUUGAACGUGGGCAUUCGAAUGUAGCAACACUAGUGGGCCAUUUUUGGUAAGCAGAACUGGCGAUGCGGGAUGAACCGAACGCGGGGUUAAGGCGCCAGAGUGUACGCUCAUCAGACACCACAAAAGGCGUUAGUACAUCUUGACAGCAGGACGGUGGCCAUGGAAGUCGGAAUCCGCUAAGGACUGUGUAACAACUCACCUGCCGAAUGUACUAGCCCUGAAAAUGGAUGGCGCUCAAGCGUACCGCCCAUACCCCGCCCUCAGGGUAGAAACGAUGCCCUGAGGAGUAGGCGGCCGUGGGGGUUAGUGACGAAGCCUAGG